rnacentral:lncRNA from 1 species
GAAUCUUAAAAAAGAACAAUGCAAGGUUGUAAUUACCAUAAGUGGUAGAGGUAAUAACACAAAAUAAAAAGAAGAAAAAUAAAAAUAAAAAUAAGAAGAAAAAUAAGAAAUUAUAAAAAGUAAAAGAAGAAAAAGAAAAAGAGAAAUAGGAAAAAGAAAAAAUGAAAUUUUUUCCAAUUAAGAACUUAUGUUUAACCAACUGCAAAUAAACAUCCCAUUCUCAAAAUCCUUAGAGUAGAUGUCUAUAUAUGCAAAAUUCAUUAAAG